GGGUGAUUAAACAGUGGUUCUCAAAGUAUGGACCUCCGACCAGCAGCAUCAGCAGCAUCUGGAUACUUGCUAGAAAUGCAAAUUCUCUGGCCCUAUUCCAGGCCUUCCAAGUUGGAAACUUUGUGAUGGGGCCCAGCACUCUGUGUUUUAACAAGCCCUCUAGACUUAUGGAAAACAACUCUGAGGACUCUUUGGACAAGACUCUGAAACAUACCAACUGUGUAUUUUCCUGCCUUUGGUAAAUCUGGAGCUAUUAACUGAUUCUAAAGAACAUUUGACUUAAAAAGACUAUGUAAAGCCCAAAGAAUAAAGGGACACUUGUCAUUGGAUUGAAGGCAUAUUCUAAUUUAGGACAAUGUCUUGAGAUCUUUAACUUAAUUACAUUUGCAAAGACCCAAUUUCCAAGUAACUGGAACAUUUUAGAUAAUGAAGACCCCAGUGGAUUAUUAUUAGCAAAUGAAAACUGGAUAUCAAGAAGGGCAAAAUCUUCAACCUUAUCAGGAGAAAGAGUUUAUGUAAAAAUAUACAUAGAAUAACUAAAAAAAUAAGCAAGUGAUACCUUAUCUGAGCUCAAAAUAUCUGUUUCUUUGCAAAUGGAUAAAGGAUUUAUUAUAUUAUAGCACCUUGAGGACAGAGACUUUAUGUUUCUAACUACCCAUCCCAGCAUCAUCUAGUUCAUUCCUAUGCUGAACAGCCCCUAACACAUUGCCUAAAUAAAUACUAACAUUA
rnacentral:lncRNA from 1 species